CUACGGGAGGCAGCAGUGGGGAAUUUUGGACAAUGGGGGCAACCCUGAUCCAGCCAUGCCGCGUGAGUGAAGAAGGCCUUCGGGUUGUAAAGCUCUUUCGGCCGGGAAGAAAUCGGUGGGGCUAAUAUCCCUACUGGAUGACGGUACCGGACUAAGAAGCACCGGCUAACUACGUGCCAGCAGCCGCGGUAAUACGUAGGGUGCGAGCGUUAAUCGGAAUUACUGGGCGUAAAGCGUGCGCAGGCGGUUUGUUAAGACAGGCGUGAAAUCCCCGGGCUUAACCUGGGAACUGCGCUUGUGACUGGCAGGCUAGAGUACGGCAGAGGGGGGUGGAAUUCCACGUGUAGCAGUGAAAUGCGUAGAGAUGUGGAGGAACACCGAUGGCGAAGGCAGCCCCCUGGGCCGAUACUGACGCUCAUGCACGAAAGCGUGGGGAGCAAACAGGAUUAGAUACCCUGGUAGA
rnacentral:rRNA from 1 species